AUUGAGUUUGAUCCUGGCUCAGGAUGAACGCUAGCGGCAGGCCUAAUACAUGCAAGUCGAACGGGGCCCUUCGGGGCCCAGUGGCGCACGGGUGCGUAACGCGUAUGCAACCUACCUUUGACUGGGGGAUAGCCCGGAGAAAUCCGGAUUAAUACCGCAUAAGACCACGUGAGGGCAUCCGAGUGUGGUUAAAGAUUUAUCGGUCAAAGAUGGGCAUGCGUGCCAUUAGCUAGUUGGCGGGGUAAGGGCCCACCAAGGCUACGAUGGCUAGGGGGUCUGAGAGGAUGGUCCCCCACACUGGCACUGAGAUACGGGCCAGACUCCUACGGGAGGCAGCAGUAGGGAAUAUUGGGCAAUGGGCGGAGGCCUGACCCAGCCAUGCCGCGUGCAGGAUGAAGGCCUUCUGGGUUGUAAACUGCUUUUAUCAGGGAAGAAAACACCCAUGCGUGGGGAACUGACGGUACCUGAGGAAUAAGCACCGGCUAACUCCGUGCCAGCAGCCGCGGUAAAAU
rnacentral:rRNA from 1 species